GUGCUCACUUCGGCAGCACACAUACUAAAAUUGGAACACGACAGAGAUUAGCAUGGCCCCUACAUAAGGAUGACAUGCAAAUUUUUACAACAGAACAACAGAUGA